rnacentral:rRNA from 1 species
UACAGAGGGUGCAAGCGUUUAAUCGGAUUUACUGGGCGUAAAGCGUGAGUAGGUGGCUCGCUAAGUCGGUUGUGAAAUCCCUGGGCUCAACCUGGGAAUUGCAGUCGAUACUGACGAGCUCGAGUUCGGUAGAGGGUGACGGAAUUCCCGGUGUAGCGGUGAAAUGCGUAGAUAUCGGGAGGAACAUCGAUGGCGAAGGCAAUCACCUGGGCCUGAACUGACACUAGACACGAAAAGCGUGGGUAGCAAACAGG